CCUACGGGAGGCAGCAGUGAGGAAUAUUGGUCAAUGGCCGUAAGGCUGAACCAGCCAAGUCGCGUGAAGGAAGAAGGAUCUAUGGUUUGUAAACUUCUUUUAUAGGGGACUAAAGGUAUCCACGUGUGGAUAUUUGCAUGUACCCUAUGAAUAAGCAUCGGCUAACUCCGUGCCAGCAGCCGCGGUAAUACGGAGGAUGCGAGCGUUAUCCGGAUUUAUUGGGUUUAAAGGGUGCGUAGGUUGUUUUUUAAGUCAGCGGUGAAAGUUUGUGGCUCAACCAUAAAAUUGCCGUUGAAACUGGAAGACGUGAGUGUGUUUGAGGUAGGCGGAAUGCGUGGUGUAGCGGUGAAAUGCAUAGAUAUCACGCAGAACUCCGAUUGCGAAGGCAGCUUACUAAGCCAUAACUGACACUGAAGCACGAAAGCGUGGGGAUCAAACAGGAUUAGAUACCCGGGUAGUC
rnacentral:rRNA from 1 species